AAGUCGAACGAGCGAGAGAGAGCUUGCUUUCUCGAGCGAGUGGCGAACGGGUGAGUAACGCGUGAGGAACCUGCCUCAAAGAGGGGGACAACAGUUGGAAACGACUGCUAAUACCGCAUAAGCCCACGGGUCGGCAUCGACCAGAGGGAAAAGGAGCAAUCCGCUUUGAGAUGGCCUCGCGUCCGAUUAGCUAGUUGGUGAGGUAACGGCCCACCGAGGCGACGAUCGGUAGCCGGACUGAGAGGUUGAACGGCCACAUUGGGACUGAGACACGGCCCAGACUCCUACGGGAGGCAGCAGUGGGGAAUAUUGCACAAUGGGGGAAACCCUGAUGCAGCGACGCCGCGUGGAGGAAGAAGGUCUUCGGAUUGUAAACUCCUGUUGUUGAGGAAGAUAAUGACGGUACUCAACAAGGAAGUGACGGCUAACUACGUGCCAGCAGCCGCGGUAAAACGUAGGUCACAAGCGUUGUCCGGAAUUACUGGGUGUAAAGGGAGCGCAGGCGGGCAGACAAGUUGGAAGUGAAAUCCAUGGGCUUAACCCAUGAACUGCUUUCAAAACUGUAUGUCUUGAGUAGUGCAGAGGUAGGCGGAAUUCCCGGUGUAGCGGUGGAAUGCGUAGAUAUCGGGAGGAACACCAGUGGCGAAGGCGG
rnacentral:rRNA from 1 species